AGCGUAGACGGUAAAGCAAGUCUGAAGUGAAAGCCCGGGGCUCAACCCCGGGACUGCUUUGGAAACUGUUUAACUAGAGUGCUGGAGAGGUAAGCGGAAUUCCUAGUGUAGCGGUGAAAUGCGUAGAUAUUAGGAGGAACACCAGUGGCGAAGGCGGCUUACUGGACAGUAACUGACGUUGAGGCUCGAAAGCGUGGGGAGCAAACAG
rnacentral:rRNA from 1 species